GUUUCGGCAUUGAAAAGAGAAUAAGGUCUGGGUGAUGAACCCCCCCACCUAGGUGCUGUGCUGUCCGUGGGGCUGAGGUGCAUGGGCAGGGUUUCAGCCUCUCUGCUGGCUUUGCACCUCGUGAGUGAAGGAGACCAGGGAGAGGGGAGAGCGCCUGUAAUUUUUCCUGUUAGCACAGAGGAGGCAGCCGAGCCCUGGCGCUGUUGUCGUAACCUUGACCCUGCCAGGAGAGGAGGGAGAGGCUGAGCAGUGCCCAGUCUCCCCGGCAGAGUGGCCGCAGCCUGUGCUAAUCGGCAGAGCAGCCCCCGAAAAAACCCCACUGACCUUGGAAGCUCUCCAGCUGGCUCCUCGGGCCUCGCCUCCGCAACCUGUUUGUGUCCCUGCUCAGGGGAUGUGGGGGCAACCAGAGACACUGGCAUUGACUUUUUCACCUAAGGGUGGUUUUACUCGUUCAAGGGGUUGUCCAGGGGAGGCAGAGUUUGCCACACAAAGCCUGGGCUUGCGGAGUUGGAUCAUCGAAGGCUCAGGGUUGUUGUAGGAAACGUUCAGCUGUAGGAAAUGUUUAGUUACUUGGAGGGAAAAGGAGGUUUGGUGCCCGCAUCUGAGGACUCGGUUGCUCUCUGCUGUGGCCGGUAGCUGCAAAGCCUCCUCUUGGUGCCCAGAAUCGCUGGGCCUGGAGCAGGUCCCCACUGAUGUAAGCGGUUGCUGAGGGCGUUGAGCAGCUUGUGCCAGCUCAGGAACUUGUCCUCUGGUUUCUCAGGCUGGAAGGAAACGCAGUGCUUCUGCUUCAGUCCUCUGGUGUGGAAGUGGUGGGAGAGGAGCCCAGCGUGGGAGGAAACCCGCUGCGGAGCUGGCAGGCCGCGUGCGGGCGCUCGGUGCCAGGGCACAGGCUGGGAGGGAGGCGCGGGGGCUGCUCGUGGAGCACCAGGGGCCCGGAUCCAGUUCUGCUGUGUUUCUUGGAGCCCUGAAACACAAAGAAGCUGACUAUUUCUGCAGAGUUGGGUUGCUUUAUUCCUGGCAUGGUUCUUCUCUUUCCACUGCUUAGCUCUCGGUAGCAUUUCUGUUCCUGUUUUGCAAGGAGGGGGCUGGAGAGGCAAGAAAGGAUGGCACUGAGCUUUGUUCCCUGGUUUUGUGACAGACAAGCAGGUCUUGGCAUCUUCUUGGACCAGGAUAAUGGGAGAAAUAUAGCUACAGCAGGUGCAUGAAAUGUAUCUGUCCAAGCAAUCCCAUGCAGAGCCCCUCUCUUCUACAGCUCUUAGCUCCUACAGGCUCCGCCGCUGGUCUCUCCCAGCCGCUCACCAGUGUCAUGAGACGUAGCUCGUGUACACACGGGGGCUGUCUUGGUCCUGGACACCACGGAGCCUCAUUUUUCUCUCUGCUUCCACACUGGCAGGCGUGCUGUAGCCACAAGCCGGCUGCCCUGGCUGGCUGGGGCUGGUUCAGACUCCGGCUCUGUCCCUGCAGAGCGUAUGGAUGCAGAUGGCUUGAGCCCCUUGGCUCCCUACCAAAGACAACAUAGACAUAGACGAGGUCUUCUCGUGUGCUCGCUAUAGGACUCCGGGGGGGACAUACCAAGCAGCUGAUAUCAUACUCUUUGGGGUGAAAUGUUCAGGCCAGUUGGCAGGGUGAGAGGUGACCGACAUGCCUGAAGCAAGCGGGGACGCGGUCCGCUGCGGUGGUGGAGUGGGUCCCUCGGGAGCUCAGAACAGGCUGCAGUUGUUUCGCGUGACCGGAGGAUUGGCUCGGGAUGCAGAUGCUCUCCUGCUGCAGAGGCCUGGAGAAAGGGACUUGUGCUGGGAGGCUUCUCUGCUCAGCACAAGUCCAUCAGUUGGCCUAAACCUCCCUCUCCUCUCCAAAGGGGAGCGCAGCCACAGCUGCAUCAGGGGCCAGCUGCACAGAGCAGCAAUGCCGGCUGCUCCUAAAGCCUUUCAAGUUAAAGCCGGGUUUGUUUGCACUCCUCUCUCCAGUGCACGUCGCCCAUCCAGAUGCUGAUAAGGGCAUUGCUCUGUUUUAUGUUUGCACUUAAGGACACCUGCAUCGUCCGUCCAAUUCCGGCCCGAUGGGGCUGAGCAGGCACCGCUGUGCUCCAAGCAGUUUGUUCAAGGGCUCUCUCCCAGCCCAGCCAGUCCAGCACGUUUCAGAGCUGGCAGCUCACGCCGCUCUCUUAUUUACUGUUGCCCUUGGUAUAUGCUGUGCUGUGCGGUUUCUUAAACCCACAUAAGUAAAAAUAAUCAAGUGCCUGUGAUCAAAAAAGCCUUGAGGCAGGGAGCUGAAUGUGUCCCUGGUGCCUCUCCCGUGCUUGUGGAGUUGUGAAGCCUGUGGAUGUCACCUUCACGGCCGGGGGAAGGUAGCAACAAUCUCAAAGGUAACUUGCAGCAGCAGGUCUGAAACCGCAGCUCAGAGGUGUCCCCUCCUCACCCAUUUUCCACGUGGAGAAGCGGUGGCACAGAGAGGAGGAAUUUGCUCAGGAGCCAGCUCUCCCAUGCUUUGAUCUGCCUGGAAAAGGGACGCUGGCUCUGCAGGACCCACGGGGCCAAGCGCAGGCUCCUGGGUGUCCGCAUGGCUUCAGCCCUGCAGGGAAGCUUCUUCGGACAGGGGAGCAGAGGCAGCCAAAGAGCUCGUAAGCGUGCUAGCACAGCUGCUGCCCUUCUGGUCCUUCUAACAGCGCCUAAUGGACGAAGCCCAGCUCCAGCUGUGGCUCCCCACGCCCGUCAGGGUACCUGCAGCUGUGCAGGGGCAGUGAGGGCAGGCGGAGCCUUUGCUUUAGCUCCGGGGGUUUUACGUGAGAACCCUCGGUACAGAAAAUCCCCUCCCAGCCCACCGCUGCCUGCACCAGAGCCGGGGCAUUGCUGUGGAGCUGCAGCUGCUGCAAGGAAAGGGCUCUUUGCUGGCGAGACCUCCGGUGCUGUGCUCAGGGCUUGGACCAGGCACAGCUGAAGCCCCUUGCCCCCAUUUAUCCCCUCCCUGCCCGCACAGGCUCCCCCCCUUGCAGCUCCCUCCUGCAAGCCCGCAGCCCCGAAGUGAAGGUGGUGGGUGCCCCGGGGGGGGGGGGGGGGGGGGGGGGGGGGCAGCAGCAGCCCCCGGGCCCGAUCCGGCCAUCUGCGGGGGCUCAAUCACGGCGGCUGUCAGCAGAGCUGCGUUUCCCAGUA